AUGGUGAUGGGUCCAGGUCCAAUUUUUUCGGAGCUGUUUAGAUAUUGGGUUGGGUCCACCAUCUUGGCCUGGUUAAAAUCAGGACUUUCUCCUCUCGUGAGCUGAGAGAGUAAAAAGACAGAUCCGGAUCUCAUUCUACGCUCUUCCAUCUCCAAUUUAAGGCUGUUGACUAUUUUAACAAGGCACUGGAGGGCUCAAGUAUAGAUCUGUCAUAAGCCAGUAUCUCUGUGUAGAUUGAUCUUGGGAAACAAACAAUUACAUGACCGCCACUGCUAAGGAACCUGCAUCAGAGAUACAGGACAAGACUUUAUUUAUGAUUAAUAAUAUUUCAUCUUCAAAUAUGGAUGUGAAAGCAAAAUAAUUUACUGAUGUCCUGAAAGAGCAGUACUAUCCAUGGUUUGCUCAGUAUAUGGUGAUGAAAAGCCAGAGCUUCUACAAGGGACCUUCAAGUGCUUGGAAUGCAGUUUUGUCAUCAGGAACGUCGAACAAUAAUUCAAAUACACUGAGGUGCGUUCGACUCCAUUCCUCAAAAAUUGCAUUUUACUGAUUUCUACCCUUCAAUAUGUUAGGAUGAGAUGUUUUAUUGUGAUUUGCACUUUGUGCAUUGAGACUGUUGUUCUUGCAAAUUGUCAUGUACAUGGUCCACAGUUUUAAAGGUUUGAUUUGAAUUACUUGUAAUAUAUUAAUGUUCAAAUGUUUGCCAAGCCCACAAACAUGCAUAAGGCAUCCCACCUAUGUGCACAUGUAUCAGUGGCCAGGUGCGAUACUCGAUCUAUUCUGAAAAGAACAAGAUGACUUCUUGAUUUAAGAAAAAGCAUUCCUUUCUCCAGAUUGAUUUUUGGGAAAACAUGUAGAAGGUCGUACCAGCCUGAUGGAUGAUUGGAUCUCAGUCUCACCCCUAUGUUCUUGAAAAGGGUGAUGUUCUAACUCAAUUUUUGUGCCACGGGGAUUAUGGAAGAUUUCUAGAAGCCGUAGCCCGAGAAGGUAGUCUGUUGUUCUUCAUUUGGUUUCUUUGCAAACAUCUGAAUUAUCCACCUAUCCUAUCCAACUUGAACCACACAAUCUUUUGUAAAAUUUUGAAAUUGUUGUGCCUUUGGGUUCACAUUGCCUUGGAUUCUCUAAAGGCUUCAUGAAAAAUCACUUCUUAAGAACCAAAAGAAACACGGUGCUUGAUCAACGGAGAUGUUUUUGGUUUAAUCCAGUAAUGGUAUGUGUGGGGCCAAAUUUUGGUAACUGGAGCUUUUGAUGUGGUGCACACAUCACGGCAUGAAUCUUUCUCUCCUAUCAAACGAUCUUCGCUACUUGAUGAAUGUGCAAUUACAACUGAUGGUUAACAAGUAAUGGGGCCCGAUCUGAUUUUUACAUUUAUUUGAUUGUAGUCAUGUGCUUUCUGUGGGGGAUCACCCAUAAGCCAUGUGGCCCAUCAUAUGGGUCAUUUUAUCAUCCAAAGGCAAGCCUCAUAUGUUCAGUUCAUUUG